rfam:Thermoplasma acidophilum DSM 1728 complete genome
AGCCCUGUGGUGUAGUGGCCAAGCAUUAUGGGCUCUGGACCCAUCGACGGCAGUUCGAAUCUGCCCAGGGCUA